rnacentral:rRNA from 1 species
GAUGAACGCUGGCGGCGUGCCUAAUACAUGCAAGUCGAGCGAACAGACGAGGAGCUUGCUCCUCUGACGUUAGCGGCGGACGGGUGCUUAACUCGUGGAUAACCUACCUAUAAGACUGGGAUAACUUCGGGAAACCGGAGCUCAUACCGGAUAAUAUAUUGAACCGCAUGGUUCAAUAGUGAAAGACGGUUUUGCUGUCACUUAUAGAUGGAUCAGCGCCGCAUUAGUUAGUUGGUAAGGUAACGGAUUACCAAGGCGGCGAUGGGUAGACGACCUGAGCGGGUGAACGGCCACACGGGAACUGAGACACGGUCCAGACUCUGAGGGGAGGAAGCAGUAGGGAAUCUUCCGCAAGGCGCGAGAGCCGGACAGAGCAACACCGCGUGAGGGAUGAAGGUCUUAGGAUCGGAGAGCUCUGUUAGUAGGGGGGAAGAAAUGUUCAAGUAACUAUGCACGUAUUGACGGUACCUAAUCAGAAAGCCACGGCUAACUACGUG